CUGCGCGGUCGCGGCGAGGCGCAGCACCGUCAACGGGUUGGGGUCCCACGGAUCGGCGGGCGUGCUCGGAGCCGAUGCAUCGAGCAAAAGAAGCGCCAUAUCGACCCCGUCAAGGGAGCGCGUGGGACGAUUUACGGCGACGGCGGGUGCCACCGCAACGGCGGGCAGCGUGGCGAGCGCCGUGUUGAGCAGGGCCUCGGACGAAGGCCACGGACGAGCGCCCAUUUGGAGAAGCGCGUCGGCGACAUGGACCGCGCCCAUGGCCACCGCCUGCCCGAGCGGGGUGGGCGGUGGCGGUCGCGGCAAGUCGACGGGCAGCCUUCCGCCGCCCGCCAGCCUCUGGCCUUCCGGACCCACAUAGACGGUGCCGGGCACGACCAUUUGGUAGGGCACCGCUGGCCCAUAGGCAAAGACGUCGUUUGCGCCGAGCACCCCGUCGGAUACGAGGGCCGCGGCGGCAUCGCCGUCGUCGGCCCACAGUGCGUCGAGAAAGGCGUCAUAGGCUGCCGGAUAGGCCGCUCGCGCCCCGUCCCCGUCUGCGUCAACCACACGGGUCAAAAGCCGCGACGGCGGCGCCGGUCCUGCGGACGAUGCUGUUCGUCCGAGCGAUGGUAUCAUCAUACUCGGCGACCGCCCGUUGCGGUGUAAGCAGCGCCGAGCCGGGUGCCCCUUUUUGGAGAAUGAAAAAAAAGGACAGAGCAG
rnacentral:lncRNA from 1 species